rnacentral:rRNA from 1 species
AGAGGUUGAUUCUGGCUCAGGACGAACGCUGGCGGCGUGCUUAACACAUGCAAGUCGAACGAAAAGACGGAAAGAGCUUGCUCUUUCCGGAAUUGAGUGGCAAACGGGUGAGUAACACGUAAACAACCUGCCUUCAGGAUGGGGACAACAGACGGAAACGACUGCUAAUACCGAAUAAGUUCCAAGGGCCGCAUGGCCCAUGGAAGAAAAGGUGGCCUCUACCUGUAAGCUAUCGCCUGAAGAGGGGUUUGCGUCUGAUUAGCUGGUUGGAGGGGUAACGGCCCACCAAGGCGACGAUCAGUAGCCGGUCUGAGAGGAUGAACGGCCACACUGGAACUGAGACACGGUCCAGACUCCUACGGGAGGCAGCAGUGGGGAAUCUUCCGCAAUGGGCGAAAGCCUGACGGAGCAACGCCGCGUGAGUGAUGACGGCCUUCGGGUUGUAAAACUCUGUGAUCCGGGACGAAAAGGCAGAGUGCGAAGAACAAACUGCAUUGACGGUACCGGAGAAGCAAGCCACGGCUAACUACGUGCCAGCAGCCGCGGUAAUACGUAGGUGGCAAGCGUUGUCCGGAAUUAUUGGGCGUAAAGCGCGCGCAGGCGGCUUCCCAAGUCCCUCUUAAAAGUGCGGGGCUUAACCCCGUGAUGGGAAGGAAACUGGGAAGCUGGCG